rnacentral:rRNA from 1 species
GACGAACGCUGGCGGCGUGCUUAACACAUGCAAGUCGAACGGAAAGGCCUGCUUUCCCUUGUGGAUUGCGGGUACUCGAGUGGCGAACGGGUGAGUAACACGUGAGUGAUCUGCCCCCAACUUGGGUAUAAGCCUGGGAAACUGGGUCUAAUUCCCGAUAGGACUGCAGGGUGGUGCCUGUGGUGGAAAACGAUUUUCUAGUGGUUGGGGAUGAGCUCGCGGCCUAUCAGCUUGUUGGUGGGGUAAUGGCCUACCAAGGCGGCGACGGGUAGCCGGCCUGGGAGGGUGGACGGCCACAUUGGGACUGAGAUACGGCUCAGACUCCUACGGGAGGCAGCAGUGGGGAAUAUUGCACAAUGGGCGGAAGCCUGAUGCAGCGACGCCGCGUGGGGGAUGACGGCCUUCGGGUUGUAAACUCCUUUCGACCGCGAGGAAGCCACCUGGUUGGAAGGGUGGUGACGGUAGUGGUAGAAGAAGCACCGGCUAACUACGUG